rnacentral:tRNA from 1 species
GGGGCCGGGGCUCAGUGGCAGAGCGCUUGCCUGGCGCACAUGGGGCACUGAGUUCCAUCCUCAGCACCA